UACGAAGGGGGCUAGCGUUGCUCGGAAUCACUGGGCGUAAAGGGUGCGUAGGCGGGUCUUUAAGUCGGGGGUGAAAUCCUGGAGCUCAACUCCAGAACUGCCUUCGAUACUGGCGAUCUCGAGUUCGGGAGAGGUGAGUGGAACUGCGAGUGUAGAGGUGAAAUUCGUAGAUAUUCGCAAGAACACCAGUGGCGAAGGCGGCUCACUGGCCCGAUACUGACGCUGAGGUGCGAAAGCGGGGGGAGCAAACAGG
rnacentral:rRNA from 1 species